UACCAGCACCCCGAGUGGUCGGGACGUUUAUUGGGCCUAAAGCAUCCGUAGCCGGUUCUUCAAGUCUUCCGUUAAAUCCAGCCGCUCAACGGAUGGGCUGCGGAAGAUACUAAAGGACUAGGAGGCGGGAGAGGCAAGCGGUACUCAGUGGGUAGGGGUAAAAUCCUUUGAUCCAUUGAAGACCACCAGUGGCGAAGGCGGCUUGCCAGAACGCGCUCGACGGUGAGGGAUGAAAGCUGGGGGAGCAAACCGG
rnacentral:rRNA from 1 species